AUUUAGUCUGCUAUCUCGAAGCGGGCGACGCUUGACUGAUGCUGGGAGGCGGCUCUCUAGAACCGCUAACCAGCAGCGGCCGUGCUUGCACGCGCGGCCGUUCACAGAUCACGUUCGAGCGGUCCCUAGAGGAUUAAGAUAUGACCGGUCUCGCCCCAGAAAGGGCGGGAGUAAACGUUCCGUAGGUGCAGAGUUCGCCUACCGCAUGCCUAAUGCGCGGUCUGCACCCUUGGGUGCAGGCAACACCGUUCAAAUGCUGGGCGUGCCGGGCGCAAGCCCGUCACCAUCAGCAGCCGGCGCUCCGGCGUUCGGCCCACAGAUCAUCCGACGGUGACCUAUCGAGGUUAAGAUAUGAUCGGUCCCGGCCCGCCCUGGGCCGCGGAGGCACGGAACCUGCGGAAGGAUCAUUACCGAGAGACGGGACCUAACCGGUCCCAACUCUUCACCCCUGUCUACAUUAAAUAUGUUGCUUUGGCGGGCCAACCGGGCCCUGCUUGGGGAAGGCUGACCCCUUCUCGUGCCCGCCGAAGGCCCCAAUAAACCUCGUGAUUAGUGUCGUCCGAGUAAAAACAAUCGUUAAAACUUUCAACAACGGAUCUCUUGGUUCCGGCGUCGAUGAAGAACGCAGCGAAAUGCGAAAAGUAAUGUGAAUUGCAGAAUUCCGUGAAUCAUCGAAUCUUUGAACGCACAUU
rnacentral:misc_RNA from 1 species